rnacentral:lncRNA from 1 species
UACAAUAAAACUUGUCCUUGUUGAUAAAAUAGACUUUGAAAGUGUUGAUGAAUCCACCGCUACCUUACUGUGCGCUCCGCGUCGUGCUGGGUGUUGGGUAUCACAAUGAAAGGACCAGGGCUCAGAAGUUCCCAAAAUUGAACUGGGAAGAAAAACGUGCAAGGAACUCAUGAUUCCUUAGACUUAGAGCCGACUGCUCUUCCAGUAUUCUAAAGCGCGGGACUGUACGGUGCCUUUAAGGUUCUAGAAGGCAAAUGGCUCCGAAAAUCUCCAAUGUUUUGGUGUUUCAGUGUUCUGCUUUUCCUCUGUCCUGCUUUGCUCUCCAUUACAGUACCCUGACGGUGGCCAAUUACUGGGUUAUGGUCAUUUCAGUAUCCCCAGCAUUUGACGCUCUCCUGGACUCCUGGAAUUGUUAGGAGUUCUAGAAGAGGGAUGGAAUGCAAACAACAGCUCCCUUCCUCUCCAGGAAGCAGAGACCUGAAGCCCACGAUUGUGGUUUUUGAAGACUGAGCUCUCUCUGCUCUUGAGUAAGGAGGUCCAAGAUUUCUCCUUGAUAAAAAUGUGGACUGCAAUGCUAGUUAAAAGAAGCAAUUGGGGCUUUUGGUAUAGAGAAAUAUUUGGAAGCUGAAGAGACUGAGGUGGACUGGAAAAGCUUCGGAGAUGCCAAACAUCACAACUUAGAGACAGGAAAGUGGUCUGAAAAUAUAGCAGCUGCCUGGAGGUGCCAGGUGAGUGGGCUUGGAGAAGAGCCACGAUGAGGGCCACUGUUGGAGCCAUACUGAACAAACUCUUCACAGCCCUCACCGGAGGACUUUGCAGUUAAGUGGCAAUUCUGCCUCAUGUAGACAAAUAAUCAUGGGAGGUGAUUUGCAGCCUGUGAUCAAGUUCUUUUUUAUCCAAGCAAAAAUAAAUGAUUCCUGAAAAUUAUCAAAAUAAUCAAACACAAGCAGAGUCUGAGAAACUGUCACAGCCAAGAGGAAUCUUAAGGUGACAUGAUGGCUAAAGGCAAUGUGGUACUCUAAAUGGGAUCCUGGAAAAGAAAAAGAACAUUGGGGGAAAACUACAGACAUCUGAAUAAAGUAGAGACUUUAGUUAAUAAUAAUGUAUCAGUAUUGGUUUGUUAAUUAUAAUUAUAUAGACCAUACUAAGAUAAGAUGUUAAUAAUAUGAGAAAUUGGGUGUGAAGUAUAUCCAAUGUAUCUAUCUUUCCAAUGUCUUUGUAAAUCUAAAAUAGUUCUAAAAUUAAAGUUUAUUUAAAAAGAAAGAGAAAGAGAAAAACACAGACUAACCUGGGAGGAUGUGUCCUCCAAAACCCUCAGGACCCUGGAAGCACCCAGGAGACCCGAACUCAUGAAUUCCUUGAGUAUAGGAAUUGAUUCAUGCUGACAUUCUCCGGGGCCAGUGCACAGUAUCUGGUUUUAAUAGUUACUGAAUUAAAAUCUUUUUCCAGUAAGGAAGAAGCAAGAGGCAAUAAAGAGAAUGUUUUUCUUCUGAUGAUAAAUAAAACUGCAAACUAUAUUUUGUGUACUUAAGUUGAUUGAAAAUUUUGUAGGGAUAUCCAGUUCAACAGAGUUUACCCUGACAUUUGGAAAAAAACUGUGCUCUUAAUGCAGAAAGUAACACAAGACUCCAUUCUUUAAGAAUACUGCUAUUUUGCCAGAUGCAGUGGCUCACGCCUGUAAUCCCAGAACUUUGGGAG